ensembl:snRNA U6 U6 spliceosomal RNA
GUGCUCCCAUCGGCAGCACAUAUACUAAAACUGGGACGAUAUAAAGAAGAUUAGCAUGGUCCCUGAGCAAGGAUGACAAGCAAAUUGGAGCAGCAUUCCAUAUUUUA